rnacentral:rRNA from 1 species
AGUGAACGCUGGCGGUAGGCCUAACACAUGCAAGUCGAACGGCAGCACAGUAAGAGCUUGCUCUUACGGGUGGCGAGUGGCGGACGGGUGAGGAAUACAUCGGAAUCUACUUUUUCGUGGGGGAUAACGUAGGGAAACUUACUCUAAUACCGCAUACGACCUACGGGUGAAAGCAGUGGAUCUUCGGACCUUGCGCGAUUGAAUGAGCCGAUGUCGGAUUAGCUAGUUGGCGGGGUAAAGGCCCACCAAGGCGACGAUCCGUAGCUGGUCUGAGAGGAUGAUCAGCCACACUGGAACUGAGACACGGUCCAGACUCCUACGGGAGGCAGCAGUGGGGAAUAUUGGACAAUGGGCGCAAGCCUGAUACAGCCAGACCGCGUGGGUGAAGAAGGCCUUCGGGUUGUAAAGCCCUUUUGUUGGGAAAGAAAAGCAGCAGGUUAAUACCCCGCUGUUCUGACGGUACCCAAAGAAUAAGCACCGGCUAACUUCGUG